AAAAAAGGAAGUUUCAAGUUACCCUGACAUUUCAAGGAUAUGUUAUCAUAGAUGCAAAAGGACAGGUAGGCUCAGUUAAGGUUAAGGUUGCCCUUGUCC